rnacentral:rRNA from 1 species
UACGGGGGGAGCAAGCGUUGUUCGGAUUUACUGGGCGUAGAGGGCGCGUAGGCGGUCAGCACAAGUCAGUUGUGAAAUCUCCGAGCUUAACUCGGAACGGUCAACUGAUACUGUGCGACUAGAGUGCGGAAGGGGCAACUGGAAUUCUCGGUGUAGCGGUGAAAUGCGUAGAUAUCGAGAGGAACACCUGCGGCGAAGGCGGGUUGCUGGGCCGACACUGACGCUGAUGCGCGAAAGCCAGGGGAGCGAACGGG